AGGUAGCGAAAUUCCUUGUCAGGUAAGUUCUGACCCGCACGAAUGGCGUAAUGAUUUGGGCACUGUCUCAACAGCCCGCCCGGCGAAAUUGUAGUACUGGUGAAGAUGCCAGUUACCCGCAACUAGACGGAAAGACCCCAUGGAGCUUUACUGCAGCUUAAUACUGAAAUUCGGUAGUACAUGUACAGGAUAGGUGGGAGACUGAGAAAUACAGGCGUCAGCUUGUAUGGAGUCGCUGUUGGGAUACCACUCUUGUACUGCUGGGUUUCUAACCUGCGGCCGUGAAUCCGGUCGGGGGACACUGUUAGGCGGGCAGUUUGACUGGGGCGGUCGCCUCCAAAAGAGUAACGGAGGCGCUCAAAGGUUCGCUCAGCAUGGACGGAAACCAUGCCAUAGAGUGUAAACGCAAAAGCGAGCCUAACUGCGAGACUGACGGGUCGAGCAGUAACGAAAGUUGGAGUUAGUGAUCCGGUGGUAUGUGAGUGGAAAUGCCAUCGCUCAACGGAUAAAAGCUACCCUGGGGAUAACAGGCUGAUCUCCCCCAAGCGUCCACAGCGACGGGGAGGUUUGGCACCUCGAUGUCGGCUCGUCGCAUCCUGGGGCUGAAUUCGGUCCCAAGGGUUUGGCUGUUCGCCAAUUAAAGCGGCACGCGAGCUGGGUUCAGAACGUCGUGAGACAGUUCGGUCCCUAUCUGUUGCGGGCGUAAGAGAUUUGAAGGGAGCUGUCCUUAGUACGAGAGGACCGGGAUGGACGUACCUCUGGUGCACCAGUUGUCCUGCCAAGGGCAUAGCUGGGUAGCUAUGUACGGACGAGAUAAACGCUGAAAGCAUCUAAGCGUGAAACUCCCCCUAAGAUGAGAUCUCUCAUCCUUUAAGGAGUAAGGACCCAGAAAGACGAUCUGGUUGAUAGGCCGAAGGUGGAAGCGCAGUAAUGUGUGCAGCUGAUCGGUACUAAUAGUCCGAGGGCUUGACCUA
rnacentral:rRNA from 1 species